AGAGUUUGAUCCUGGCUCAGAACGAACGUUGGCGGCGUGGAUCAGGCAUGCAAGUCGAACGAAUCCCAGGGGGGUAACUCCCUGGGGGAAGUGGCGAAAGGGGCAGUAAGGCAUGGGUGACCUGCCCCGGACUCCGGGAUAGCCUUCCUAACGGAUGGGUAAUACCGGAUACCGUCCGCGAGGACGAAAGCUCAGGCGGUCCGGGAGGGGCUCAUGUGGUAUUAGCUAGUUGGUGCGGUGACGGCGCACCAAGGCCGAGAUGCCUAGCAGGUGUGAGAGCACGACCUGCGCCACUGGCACUGUGACACUGGCCAGACUCCUACGGGAGGCUGCAGUCGAGGAUCUUCGGCAAUGGGCGAAAGCCUGACCGAGCGACGCCGCGUGUGCGAUGAAGGCCUUCGGGUUGUAAAGCACUGUCGGGGGGGAGAAAAGGAAACCUGAUCGACCCCCGGAGGAAGCUCGGGCUAAGUUCGUGCCAGCCGCCGCGGUAAUAC
rnacentral:rRNA from 1 species